rnacentral:lncRNA from 1 species
CUGCGUAUACUGAAAAUUUAGCGACAAAUCCCCUAAAUCACGAAAAAAAAAAAAAAAAACUCUCUCUAUAUUAUCUCUGCAAUUUUGCAGACCUAGAGCCAUCCUUUUUGACUUUAUGCUCAAGUUGUGUGUUUCCAAACUCAAAAUUCAAUCCAAAUCGGAAGAUGUCUAUUCAAAUUCGAAUUUUAGGGAUAUGUUUCUCCCCUAUAAGUAGGGAUUGAGGGGAAGAAGGCAGGGAGAAAAAAAGAAUUUUGGGAAAACAAUUGGGGGUUCUGAAGGCGCUUGCUUUUUACCUUACUUAACCAAAAUUCUCGACGAACCCACUCCGAAAAUCGAAUUCCAGCGAAACUGUUGAACUCCGGCGAGGCUAGUUGGCAUUUCGUGAUAUGCUUGUUUGUUUCGUUCGCUGCCCGAAAACAGGUGAACGUUCACCUUCUCGCACCCUCUCUUUGUUAUCUAAUUAUUACGACGCGAAAUCUCAUUACUAAUGGUGGAAUUUGGUUGUUAUUGAAGUAGUUGUCGUUUUGGAAUCUCACACUAGGUGAGAGAUGGGAUUAUGUGUUGUAGAAGGGCUCUCAUGGCCGUAGGAUUUUCAUGUAAUGGAGUUCUAAGUUUUACCUCGAUCGAUUGAGUUAAUAUUUUUACUCUAGCUGUUUCGGUGCAUCGUUUCGCUUAGUGUAGGUUUUAUCUCUUUAAACGCAUUGAUCCAUCUUAGUGUUUCUUUUCUAACAUUCAAGUUAUUGUCUUUGUAGUGUAAGUACUGUUUUGCAGCAAUUUGGAGCCCUUUUUUUUGUGUGUAUUUUUUGUUUUCUUGAUCAUGCUCUUAUGAGUUUGUGUAGUUUGUGUUGUUUGGUUUGUUUGGCAACUAGGCACUAAGGAACUUUUGAAAUCUUGAUUAAUACUGUCCUACACACAUUGUCUUAAAGCUACAAAUUCUGGUUAAAAUAAUUAUAUGUCUAAGCUAUUGAAAGUGAUUUCAGGUGUGAAUUCUUCAUUUACGCAAAAUGUCGUACUAAUAGAAGUAGCUAGCAGGUCCCAAUGUAUAUGAGUUCCCAGGCCAAUUCGAAAAUAUGAUAAAAUUUCAUAUACUCCUAAAGAUAAUAAUCAACCUUUCAAAGUUGAAGUGAAAACACGUGGCUUAAUCAAUCAAAAUGAUGAUUCCUAGCUUCAUUAUAUGUUAAAUUAUAUAGCUUAUUAGCACACCUUAUUUGCUAAACUUUAUUCUAUGUUUGAAAGUUUGUUAAGUGUUUAUGUGCCAUCCAUAUUCCCUUUCAUUAUUGGUAUCAAGUACAUUACCAGCAUUCAAACACAAAAAGAUCUUAGCUCUAGAUAUUAAUUAUUUAGUGUUGUCUAAAGAAUUUGACUAGAUAUUACUUAUUUAAUAUGUUGCCUAAGAAUUUGACUAUUUGGAUAUAUUCUCAUUCUUUUUUCCUUUGUGUGUGCAUGAACUCCUCCGUCGAGUCCCUCGGACUCCCUUCUCUCGCAUUCCGUUGGGUUAAAUCCAACUCGCAUCGAGUCAAGACCCGUGCCAAAAACAAAAUGGACUAAUGCAUGAAGAAAAAUGGGUUGAUACAAAGAUGUAUACACAGAUAUACAGCAGCAUACAUGAGAUAUGCAGUGAAAAACGGGAGGUGAAGUUGGUGUACAGGUGGAAGACCAAAAUAUAUGCAUCAGAUAUACAAAAACGCUGGGAAAAAUAUAUGCAGUAUACAGAUGAUAUACACUGAAAUAAUGGACUAAAGUUCAUGGGAUUUAGGCCCAAAAGCUGGGAAGCCUAUUAAUGGGUCAAAAGGGUCCAAUUUUAACUCUUUCUUUAUUGGAUAAAUUACACAAAUCUCAUACUUAAAGAGAUUAUAUUAGCCUAAUAUCCCUAACUUUUUUAAAAUUUAUAUAAAAUUCCAUUUUACAACUUUACUCUUGAUACAUAUCAAAAAAACCUCACAUCCUAUUUUUACUCCACCAUUAACUCAUUCAAGAUUUCCUUCCCGAAAAUAUCUCUCAAAUUAUCAACAAUUAAAUGAUCUUCCUUUCUGAUUUUUUUCUCCUCCAUUAAUGCAUGCAAUUUUGUUUUUCCUCUCAUUCUUUUUUUUAUAUCUAUUGAUACAUAUAUAAAUUUAUUUAGUUAUUCAUACAUGUGUAUUCUUUUAAUGGUGAUUCAUAUGAAUGAUAAAUAUGAUAUCAUUAUAUGGGUAUUAUGGUGAUUCAUAUGAUAGAUACAUUUUGUGUGAUUUUAACGGGUGAUACAUAUGAUAUUAAUGGGUGAUACAUAUUGUAUUAUGGUGAUUCAUAUGGUAGAUGCAAUUAUUUAUUUCAAUUAUCGGGUGAUUAAUAUAUAUGAUAUAAUGGUGAUUCAUAUGGUAGAUACAAUUAUUUAUUUCAAUUAUUGGGUGAUUCAUAUGAUAUUAAUGGGUGAUAUAUAUGGUAUUUUAUGGUGAUUCAUAUGGUAGAUACAAUUAUUUAUUUCAAUAAUUGGGUGAUUCAUAUGUUAUUAAUGAAAGGUAAUGGUGUAGUCAGUGUAAGAAAUAAAAGUAAUAAUAUUAAAAAAAAAAAAAAGACUAAGAGUAGAAUUGAAAUAUAAUUCAAAUUAAAUCUAAAAAAAAAAAACUAAAAUUAAAAACGAAAAAAAGAGAAAAAAAAUAUCUUUUAUAAUUAAAGACGAAAAAAGAGAAACAUAUUAAAACACCUAAAUUAAAUAUUAAAAAAAAGUGAAAAAUUAGAUAUCUUUCCUUAAAUAAAAAAAUAUAAUGCAUAAAAGAGAAUCUGUUACUUCCUUAAAUAAAUAUCUUGUUAGUUUCAAAUGUAUCACUUUCUUAUAUGUAUCACCAUAUAACAUAUGUAUCACCAUUUCAAAAAAUUGGGAUAAAAUGUAAUUAACAAAAUAGUCGAGAUUUUAUAUAAUAUCACUUAAAGAUUGAGGAAGUUAUGUAAGUUACCCUUCUUUAUUUCUUAUUCUUAUUUAUUUGUAUUUUUUUGAACACUCUAACUAAUUAAUCUAGAUAAAUCACCUAAGGCGUUAUCAUUUUAUUUUAUCACAGCUUUUAGUUAAUUCGUAAUUUCCUCUCCUAAUUUAUCUCGUCUAAAUAAAUUAUAAUGGUUCUUUUGAUUUUUCUUCCUAAAACUAAUCUUACAAAAUUUGUUGAUCAUUUCUCUUUAAAAUGACAUUUGUCUUGUUCAUAUGACUAAUGACUUACAUGGAUUAAAAUAAUUUACUUCAAACCAAGAAAACUAAUUUUUCUCAUAAAUCCUAGUUUUCCAUAAUUGAUAAAAUACUUUUAAUAUGACAUUGCUCUAACAUUUUUUAAAAGUGUUAUCUAUAACAAAAUUGACCCUUUUCUUUUAUGUAUAUAUAAUAAAAGAAAUGGUAAUAAUGAUAAUAAUAAAAAAUAAUUAUGUAGUUUCUUUUUUAUAAAUCAUAAAAACACAAAUUUAUUUCCUUCUUAAAUACAAGUGUGCAACCUAGCUUAAAUAGGUUUCUCUUUAAUUUAAAUAUUUCAUAAUCUUUUCUUAAAGAUAAUUAUGAAUUAAGUAGAAUUUUCUCAAUUUGAAUAUCUCUUUGAUUUUUUUUUUCAAAUUCUAGCUUGUCGUGAUUAAUUAUGAAUUAAGUAAAAUAUUUCUCAGGUAGGAAUAUUUUGUAAUAUUUCUCAAAAAUUAAUCAGGAAUUAAACGAAAUAUUUCGUAAUUUUUUUCAAAAUUAAUAUCGAAUUAAGUAGAAUAUGUUAUAGCUUUUUCUAACUCAAGUAGACUAUUUCUCGUUUGAAUAAACAUGUGUGAAUAAAUAAUUUUAAUAUAUAUAUUUUUUUAAAAUCAAACUUUUCACAAACUUAGUCACUUUUUCUUAGUUAGUAAAAACUGAUCUUUUGGUGAACCGUUUUAAAACAGACGCUCCUAAGUGUUUUAAAAACCUUCUUAGGGCGUUAACUGAACCCUUACUCCGUUUUUCUAAUUUCAAAGAUUCAUUUCUGUUUUUGAAUCUUUGAAAUUCCUUGAAGUUUUUUCUUGAUAUUUUUCUAUAAAAAUCAAGUGGCAACUCUCUAAAUUCUUAAAAAAUUAUUUCAAAAUUUUCUUGAUUUUUUUUAAAUAGUUUGAAAAGAUCAAAAUUAUUUUCUGUAAAAUAAAAUUCGAAAAGGGAUAAAACAGAAAUGACGACUCUGGUGGGGAAUUAUCUAGGUUCUAACCAAAAGGCAUUUUCUAACUUGUUGUGGCUAAUUAUUACGUGUUUAUUCGUUUAAAUUUCAUAUAAACUGUCAUUCCGUUCAUAAUUCUUCCAUUCGAGAAAAUUGACAUAGUCACACGUACACGUGAGGUGUGUUUUGUGCACCCGCAAACUUCUUUCAAAUUUCAAAUUUUAGAAGAGUUGGCGUAUGCGCGGUGUGUCUGGAUCUUUUUUUGUGUGACCGCAUAGCGUUCUUACUCGAGUUGUCCACUCUAAAAUCUUGUGUCAAGCAAGCCAAAUCUUAGAAGAACUUAAGAUAGAGUUUCCCCGAAUAUAGGUCAUGCAUGCAUAAGCCUUAGGUGGUUUGACUCAAGGUGUCAUUCCACACAUUUAGGAAAUGCCCUUAUGUCAAAUGGGUUUACGACCUAACGACAACAGCUCAUAUUAUGUGCAUGUAUAAUGAUAAAUGGAUCCAAGCCUAAUUAUGAUACUGCGAAUUUGGAAAAUAUGUACUUAUUUUGUUGUAUUUACUUGUAGGAUAAAUUUAGUUCCCUGAGUGCCCAAGAUUAGAAUGGUCGAAGGUGUUCCACACAAGUUGAGGAUAUGGUGGAAAAAUUUUAACCCGACUGAAAAAUUAGCGAUCACCAAGAAAUUGGGGUUCCUUCCUACACUCUUCAAGAUCUCCUCCGACAAAUACGUGAUUAGAGCGCUGAUUCAAUUUUGGGACCCUGAUUAAAUUGUCUUUACAUUCAAAGACUUUGAAGUCACCCCUACAUUAGAGAGAUCUAUUACUUCACUAAUAUGAAGUAUCAAGGGAGAGGUCAGAUCAUCUCGCAUAGUCAGCCAGUGAAGAAAUUUCUUCGCUACUCAGGAUUAAAGAACAUUGAUGAACUCUGUUGCUUCGAAAAUAAUUGGGUUUCUUUGGAUUAAUUGUACGAAAGAUACGAUCUUCAAGGUAGUUAUAAGCUAUUCAAGAAGGAGUUCGCUUACACUUUUACCCAUUGGCGGGUUAGACGUCCAAUUGUAUUUGUUGUUGCCUUGCUAGGGACUUUGGUAUUUCCACAAAAAUAUGGAAAGAUCAGUACUUUCGUAUGUUCUGUGGCUCGAGUACUUUUUAAAAGAGUUAAUGGCGUGGAAAUCACCUUGGUUCCUAUGAUCUUGGCGGAAGUAUUUCGCGCACUUGGAAAAGUGUAAAAGAGGUGAAACACAGUUCUUUAAAGGUUGCAAUCUCCUUCUGCAGAUGUGGGCAAAAGUGCAUUUCUACAAGCGUGACAAUAUGACUGACAUAAUGUUUAAUGCUUAACAUAAGAUUGACACUCAUGAUGACAGAAUGAGGAGGUUCGUUUCCCCGAUCGAUACCGGUGAUUUGUUUGAGUUCUUAGCCUCUCGUACCAGUGACCAAAUCUAGUGGAGAUAACCACUACUGUCAUGUUUCAUGGCUUACAUACGAUGCAGAGGGAUUUAUUAUAUUGAGCUUAUUAGAUUAAGAGUUCUACAACCAUAUGCCUCGGUGCAUGUACUCCGAUAGUUUGGUCAGACAUAGAUUAUCCCUCUCCGAGAAAAUAUGCGACUUUCGGAAGUCCUUUUUGGACUAGACUUCAGAAUUCCUAGGGCCAGUCAAAUUCUGCAUGAAUGGAGUAACAUUCUCACAAUAGAUGUGAGACACUGACCAACAUAGUGUAUUCCAAAAUACCAGGUAUGGGUUCGAGAAUAUUGUGGCGAUAUAAAACCUAGUUCAGAAGGGGAACAAGGUUUUGAGAAUGUUGGGAUGACUAUUUGGAUAAGACAUUUUUGUCUUGGAACCACAGUGGUCACGCCUGAAAUGUGGGCUCAAAUGUCCAACAUAAUGCAGUAUUUGGAAAAUAUAGGAGCGGGGCCCAGCAAUGUUGAGGCAUUAUCUUCACGUCCUCCACCGGAAUGAUCAGAAACGGGGUCUAGGCUAAGUUUUAGGACUGUCUUUUUCAUAUAUUUUUAUCUUGUUUCUUAUCGUUGUACUCGAUUAAUAUUUCAAUGAAACUUGGUUCCAAACUCAAAGUUUAUCUCAAAUUAAUGGCUUGGAUCAAUUUAUCAUAAUCUCAAUUACUUGACGCUAGGCCAAUCCUUGGCUCAAAAGGGCCACCCAACUAGGACACGCUAUUUACUAUUCUAUUAUUAUGUGAUAUAAUUAUCUUACGUGAUAUAACUGUUUAUGUGCUAUGUGCGUUGUUAAAUAAAAGGUAAAUUGAUCCAUUCCUCAACAAGUCCUUAGAAAAAUACUUUAGCCAAAAACAUACGUCUACUAUGUAAAGUCCAUCCAAAAUAUUCCAAGUCCCUAGGUUUCUCAAAAGCCCUUAACCAAUCUUCACUACAUUUUCUUUCAAACGCAUUUCUAUUCUGUCGGAAAAUCGGUCAUGGACUCAAGAAUUCUUUCUUAGUCGAACUAUGUAUGGCCCAAUUUCUUCUUUGUGAGAUACAUAGGCAGCCUUUUGGCCCGGCCUCUAUACUUUAAAAUUAUUAUAUCUCGUUUUACCGAGGAAAGUCGUACAAUUCCAAAAUCAGUAGAUUUGGCAAACAUCUUGUUAAGACCCAUUUAUUCAAAAUUUGAUGGACAAAGUCCUGCCCGUUAAUUUCUUUCGAGUCAAUACCCAUUCGUGGAUCAAUUUGCCUAAGAUGAAAGCAACGUUAUGUGCUUACUUUAUAUCAAAUAUCUUGCAUUUACUUGUCACUAAUGGUAUCUAACAUAUUUUCCUUUUGAGUUGUUUUUACUUUAAUAGGUAAUCAAGUAAGUAGAAAUUGAUUUGUAUUGACAAAAUUUAAUUGAACAUCAAUACUUCCAAGGCAGAUAAACAUUCCUUCCUUCAUUGUCACUUAAUUACUAAAGAGGAAGGAAUGACUAGUAAUAGUGAUGAAAAGUCAAAGAAAUUACUUUCGCUUUACCAGUCAUUUCCUAUAUCUGUAAAGCUACAAGUAAUGGUCUCAAAGAUAGGGAACUUGUUCAAAAAGUGGGAUGCUAUUAUAGAAGAUUGUCUUGAGAAGACCAAGAUCAAGAAAGAUGAAUUAGGGAAAAGAUGUCAAAUUGGACUUCCACUUCAAUCAUGACUCCCCGAUUGAUAUGGUAGAUGAAAGGAAGAGAUUUAGCUUUUGCAAAAUCGGUGGUUGUCUGAAUGAGGCUCGAGACCCACCCUUUAAGUUUUAUUUACCUUAUUUUCACUUUUUAUGUUUUUCAAAAGGCUCAAACCCACACUAGUAAUGAUCUUAUCCAGUGUCUGUAAUAUUUGAAAUUUCAAUAAAAGCCUCUCUUAUUAGAAAAAUAUUUUCACUUAUUUUGCUGCACUAUACGAUCAUUGUAAUCUAACUUAUGAUUUCAGCAAUAAUUUAAAAGCGGCCAAUGUCAUGUCAUGUCAAAAUCUAAAUAAAUGAAUCGAAGUAAAAUGAUAAUGAGUGAGAGGACUAUGAUGAGGAAACAAUGGCCCCAGACCGAUUAACAGAGGAACUAAAAGAUUUUGGGGAUCGAGAAAAUCCCAACCUAGAGGAAACUGAGGUAGUUAAUCUAGGUGAUGAUGGCGAAGUUAAAGAAACCAAAAUCAAUGUUCAUCUUGAAGAAGCACAGAAAAAAGAACUCAUUAGGUUGCUUAAAGAAUACAUUGAUAUAUUGGUUUGGUCUUAUGAUGACAUGCCAGGAUUGAGUACAAAUAUCGUAUCACACAAGUUGAUUCUAUGAAGCAAAAGUUACAAAAGUUUAAGCCAAAUCUAAGUCUGGAAAUCAUGGAAGAAGUCACUAAGAAGAUCCAAGCCAACGUGGUUGAGGUCACAAAAUAUCCAACAUGGCUAGCUAAUAUUGUUCCAGUACCUAAGAAAGAUGGAAAGGUCAGAAUUUGUGUCGAUUAUAGGGACUUGAACAAAGCCAGUCCUAAAGAUAACUUUCCAUUGUGUAAUAUCCACAUUCUCAUUGACAACUGUGCAAGUCAUGAAAUGGAGUCGUUCGUGGAUUGUUUUGCCGUCUAUCAUCAAAUAUUGAUGGAUGAAGAAAAUAUAGAGAAAACAGUUUUCAUCACACCUUAAGGUGUUUAUCACUAUAAGGUGAUGUCCUUUGGUCUCAAGAAUGUCGGUGCUACGUAUAUGAGAGUCAUGACGACCAUAUUUCAUGAUAUAAUCCAUGAGGAGAUUGAAAUAUACGCGGACGAUGUGAUCAUCAAGUCCCACAAACGUUCAAACUACUUGGCCCACUUGAGAAAGUUCUUUGAUCAGUAGCGAAAGUAUAAUUUAAAGCUGAACCCUGCUGAAUAUACUUUUGGGGUGCCGGCUGUGAAGUUGUCGGGUUUCAUAGUUAGUAGAAGGGGCAUUGAGCUUGACUCCUCAAAAAUUAAGGCAAUCCAGGAACUGCCUCCUCCGAAGACGAAGAAGAAAGUCAUGAGUUUCUUAGGGAGAUUAAAUUACAUCAAUAGGUUCAUAGCUUAGUCAACGGUUAUUUGUGAGCCAAUCCUCAAGAUGUUAAAGAAAGAUGCAACAAGUAAAUGUAUUGAGGAAUCCCAAAGAACUUUUGACAAGAUCAAGGAUUAUUUGUCUAGACCACCAGUACAAGUUCCUCUAAGAGAAGUAAGUCCUCUAUUAUUGUAUUUAUCGGUCUUUGAUAAUGAAUUUGGAUGUGUAGUAGGGCAACAUAAUGAAACUCGAAAGAAGGAAAGAGCAAUUUAGUACUUUAGUAAGAAGUUCACUCUGUACGAAGCUCGUUACACACUAUUGGAAAGAAUGUGUUGUGCAUUAACUUGGGUGACCAAGAAGUUGAGGCAUUACGUGACGUCAUAUACAACGUAUCUCAUCUCUAGUAUGGAUCCUCUAAAGUACAUAUUCCAAAGGUCAUGUACACUGGGAAAUUGGCCAAGUGGCAAAUGUUAUUGAGUGAGAUCGACAUUGUAUACGUGACUCAAAAGACAAUCAAAGGGCAGGUCCUAGCGGAUCAUUUAGCAGAAAAUCCAGUUGAUGAAGAGUAUGAGCCACUCCAAACUUAUUUCCCAGAUGACGAGGUACUGUUCGUAGGGGAAGACAUUGUUGAAAUAUACCCGGGCUGGAGAUUAUUCGUUGAUGGGGCGGUUAAUUUCAAAGGUUCAGGAAUUAGGGCGGUCUUAAUAUCAGAAACUGGUCAACAUUAUCCGGUUACCGCUAAGUUGUGCUUCCCUUGCAACAAUAAUAUAGCUGAAUAUGAGGCUUGUAUUCUCGGUCUCAGACUGGCUAUUAAUAUAACUAUUUGGGAGCUACUAGUCAUUGGAGAUUUUGAUCUAUUAGUUCACUAGGUUCGGGUUUAAUGGGUCGUUAAGAACCCUAAAAUCACGCCAUACGUGGAAUUGGUACAUGAGUUAUGCAAAAGAUUCAAGGGGUAGAAUUCAAGCAUGUUCCAAGAAUACAACAUGAGUUUGUCAAUGCUUUAACCACUAUAAAUUCCAUAAUUCAACAUCCAGAUAGAAGGUGGAUGGCCAAAGGUGGACCAAGCCAAUCAAUUCUAAUGUAGUAAAGAGAUUCUAUGUUUAACAUGAGGUUUCUUUGUGCUUAUUUUCUUGUAAUUGUUUUCUCAUCUAUAAUCGUUUUAUGUUUUGCAGUAGCUUUAAAAUCUUCUUUCCCUUGAUCUACGAACUACGUUUGACCUGAAUUCUUAAGAAGAGGAUUCGUAGGCGACCUAUGUCGGCUUCAGUCAACCCCUUAGAAAAUUUUAUUUAUGUUCUCUUGAACUAUGUGAUGACCUGAAUUCCCAAGGAUAGGAUACCUAGGCGGCCUUUGUCGGCUUUGGUCACCUCUCUACUUAUAUUUUAUUAUCUUCUACGUUAUGGGAACUACGUUUGACCGGAUUCCUGUUCAACAGGAUACGUAGUCGCCAUAACGGCUUGGCCAUAUCACCCCAAAAAAUGAAAACUAGGAAAGAAUUUUUCAGAAGGAAUCUCAAAAAUUCAAAAUAACAAGAUCAUUCUCUUGCAAGCCAAAUCAAAUUUUAAGAAAGACAUCAGUAACUAGGGCAAAAAUUUUGAGGCAGGCCUCAAAAUUUCCACCAUACUGUACUAAGGAGUUCAAAGAUGACAGUAAAAAUUUUGGUGUCAAAAGAGUAGAGUCGACUUCAUAGACCUUCAUCUAUAAAGGCUCAACGCUUUGAGCCAAGAAUGUUCAUUAAAGCCCGUAUAUGACAUGGCUUAUUAGAAAGAGACUCCUCCAGACUUAUAAAAAGAUUUUUGAAAAUUUAAUUAUUUGUAAAAGUACUUACUUCUAAUUAAUUUAUGCUCUGAUUUUGCCUUACACCCACCAACUCGGGGAGUUAAAGCAGGAGUUAAGAAAUGACAAACACAAGAAGAAGAUGAGAACCCGAUAAUGGCGAUGACAGGAGUUGAGGACUGAGAAAGUCCACACCGAUGAAUUUUAUCAAAAAUUAAUAAUUUUUCUUUGGAUGAAGGUUAUUCUGAAGCCAAAAAAAAAACCAAAAAAAGCAUAGAUUAUUCACCAUAUUCCUUUGGUUUAAAGGAAUACAAGAAAACCAAAUACCCCAAGGACGAUAAGAAAGAGCCAGAAUGGUCAAGGUAUGAAAACAGUUGAGUUUUCCAAAACUGACAGGUUUUCUGUGGUUGCAGGUGUUGACACCUAAUUUUUGCCCUCCACAACCCAAUUUAAUUGUGAGUUUCUUCAAUUUUAAAAUAAAAUCACAACAAUUAUUUUGUUCAAAUAAAUGCUAGUUUAAAUUACUUAUUCAAUUCAAUUUUAUCAUUUAAUUAACAAUUAUACAUUUUUCGCAUUUUAUAUACGAGAGUUUAUAAAUUUUGUUAUUUAAAUGAACAUUUUCAUUAAAAUUAGAUUUUUAUUGAUUAAAACUUGGAAAUUAAUUCAAAUGGAUAAAAUCUUAAUUUUAAAUAUGAUUUGCUCUCAAAACAUUUUAUUUGGAGGAAUAUUUGUUGGAUUCUUAUCAAAUUAAGAAACUCGAGGUUAAUUUGUUACUUGGUUCGUGCCAGAUUGCGAUUCAAUUUAGCGAACGAAUUAAAUAUGACCUCAAUUGAAAUUAAAUUGGCCUAAUUGUAAUGCAAUUUACCAAUAGAUAUUCAAUUUGGUUAGAAUUUAAAUAAGUCAUUUAAAUUGUAAUUCAAUCUUAAUCCCAAAAGUCACCAUUUCUUAAUUGAGAUUAUUUUAAUCUGAUUAAAUUUAAUUUGAGUUAUUCUUAAUCCAAUUAAAAUUAAUUAUGAUUAUUCUAAUUAAAUUUAAUUAGGGUUAUUUAAUAGCCCAAUUAGGUUUAAUAAGGGUUAUUAAAUAACCCCAAUUAAAGACCUAAAAUUCUCCCUACCCGGCCCAUUUUAUUAUCUUCUACAUUAAUAUUAACCCAGCAACCUGCCAAGACCAAACCCUCCAGCCCAAAUUCACACCAACCCGGCCCACACCAUUAAUACACUCUCCUUCACCUUAACAGCCAAACAAAACAACAACAACAAUACACAAUUUUCUACAUCUCCUAAAUGGUGACAAAAUCAAUAGUGAAAAUCCCCAAACAACAUUGCAAAUUUAGAAGCCAUCGACGAUCUACGACUAACCAAGGACCCGACUCCAAACGCUUUUCUCUCCUCUUUGUCCUCACGUGCUUCUCCACGCAUUUUGUACAAAGAAGGACACAGUCUUCUAGAAAUGCGCCUAGGUGUCUUUCCAAUGUUCAAAUUCUGCAAAUCUCGGGUACUAUGGUAUGAAUUCGUACAUGGGUAGAGAUUUCUCAUUGGUUAUUGGGGAGAAUUGCUUUCUAUUGGCUAAUCCAUUUUUGGAUUUCAUGAGAAACAAUGAAUUUGGUACAAAUUUGGGAUGAAAACCGAAGGGGAGGCGGAGGGGGAAUUGAAAAAAUUUCAAAAGUUCCUAUUUUAGAAUCCCUAAAAUACCCUCAAUACGUCUUCUAUAUAAGAAACGAUUGGGUCCUAUUUUUAGGACGAGAUUUUGGGGUCCGAAGAUCGGGGGAUUUUUUUUGAGCUCUAAGGUUCUAAGAGGGGAAAAAUUUUGGUCACUAUUUGGGGGGUUUUGUUUUCGGCUUGAGAGUUCUAUUAGGGUUGGAGAUUCUGGGGGUCGGGGUUAUUUUUCUUCUCUUCUUGGAGGGGUUCGAAAUUUGGUUUAGCAAAUUCUACGGUCUUCAUUCAGGAAAGACAGGAGCCGUCAGAGACAAGGUUUUCAAAAAGAAACUAAAGGAGAAUUUUUUAGGGUGGUUCAAAAUUUGGGUUGGGAGAUCUGAAAGCAAAGAGUUUAUUUUGCAAAAAUUUUCUCGUCCCUUCUUUCUGGAAAGCUAGUCGAUCAACUGGGAAUUCCCAAUUCAACAACAUUAACUCCCAGUGGUGACAAUUUUACUGAUAGAUCAAGUCCCAUUUUGCUGCUCCCUGAAAAGUAACAUCUUAUCCCUUUGAGUUCUUGAGUACUUCUUCUUCAUCUUGAUCUUCUACAGUCGUGAAUAAGUUUUCAAUAUGAUUGUAUGCUGGACUAUUCAUUGGUAGAUGACUUCAAUAGACGUAGGUAGAUAUUGGUAGAGUGUCGAGUUGAUACUUUUGUUUUGUGUAUUGUUGGUGGUUUGAAUAGCCUGAUUGCCUAGUUAAAGUGUGUCACUUUAAUCGUGUUUAAUAGUCUUAACUCGAGGUUGUUUGGUCGUAAUUGCUGAUUGACAGUGUUUUAUUUGAUAUUAUUAUUGAACGGAGCCUAAAUUGUCAAGCUAGAAGCUCUGCUAGUGGAGCUACGUCUCAAGUUUCUUUGGCUCCUCACAUGCCAAAAGGACGAGGAGCAGGCUCCAUAAUCUUAUUAGAAAGUCCCAGUUUCUCUUAAAGACCAUAUCGCUCGAAUCUGCUAGAAUAGCGAGGAGGUUUGGAAUAGUUAUCAUCCCUGCUGUAGUUUUACAGGGAUGUUGAAUAGUCUUAUUUUCCUCAUUUUUAUUUGGGCGUGUGUCCUUGAAUCUUUAAAAUGAAGUCUUAGUUUCUUCAUUGUUGUUAAUCUUAUAUUCCUUAAUUAGCGUCAUUUGAGAAAUCUUUGAAAUUAGUUUAGUCAGUUUGAAGCAAAUGUUUUGGAUAAACCUCUUUGGUUUACGGUGUCUAAGAGGUUUAACGAAAUGGAGAACUAAAAAUGAAAAUUUCAUGAUAUAUUUUUGUCUUUGAAAGUUCCUAAUUUGAAUCAUCUUAUGGGCAUUGUUAGGUCUUAGUGAGUAUCUUCUCUUCCCUUUCUUUGUUUGUUUGCUCUACCUCAUGAGAUUUUCAAUCUUUACUUUCCUCUAAUUACUUAUUGCUUCAGAGCAUUAUACCUUCGAUGACGUCGAGUUUUGGAGCCUUAUAUAGGUGUAUUGAGUGUUGUGUUGAAAUUGCUAAUUGCGAUAUGCGAAAAUCGGUUUUGCUAUUCAGAUAUUUGAUGUCCUUCUUUACAGUUUAAUUUUGUUUCAUUUUAUUAUAUUUUCAUUGUCUUGCUUUAGUGUUGUAGCUGUUGCAUAUUAAAAUGAUGUCUCAAGGAGUUUACUUUGCGGUGAUGGUUAGUGAAAACGACUCAAUAAAUAUUAAUGUUUUCAAUUGAUUUUUGAAUAAGUGAUCUAAUGUGCUAUCUUGUUGACUCGGAUAGACAAACUUAACCUAAUUUUGUCAUAAAUAAGGUGAAAUAAACUACACCGUGGCUUAUUUUUACCUUGACUUAUUCUCACCCUUGAUUUUUCUAUUCAGAUAUUCUUAGCCUUCACUCUUUAAAGUUUCUUGUUUUGAAAUUCUAAACAAGCAUUUAUUCUUUGCCGUUAUUGAAUUAUAUGCGAAUAUUUUGUCUUUGAAAGUUAUAGUCUUGCUAGACCUUCGUUUCAUAUAGUUUCAUCUUUGAUGGGUUAUAUUAUGUGGGUUAUGGAAUUUAUGAGUAAAUAAAGCAUGCCUAUUAUUUAGAAUGAUUUGUGACAUGAGUAGACCAAUUCUAAGUAAAAUGCCCCUCCCUAGCGUUACAUUGGGUUUGUUUUUUCAGUAUGUAUAUUCAUGAAUUCUCACCUUCUCUCCUGAUUCUAGAAUUUCUCUCUUGGUCAAAAACUUCAAUUUUUUUUUUGUCAGUUAUUUUAUUUUAUUCUAUUUAUUUUAUUUUAUUUAUUUGGUUUUAUUCAUGUGUAACUUGGCAUGUCAUUCUGUUAAGUUAAUCAGAGUGCUUGAGUCUUUCCCUUAAUUCUAUAAAUUGAUAAUUAAUCCCUAUUAUUUUCCUUGAUGCAUGUAAAAUAAAUUCGGUACCCCAAAUGGGUUCUCUUCCUAUUGCAUUUCAUGACUGGCCAAUGAGGCCUGCCUCCUCCGGUAGAUUAUUUUGAAGAAAGGAACCAAAAGAAGGAAAAAAUGAGUCAAAGUCCUAUGUUUGAAGCGGCUAAGAGACAAAAGUCUCAUUUAUUAUUUCAUUUUCGUGUAAUUAUUGUUUUCUUUAUUUAUUUUAUUUGUUUAUUUAUUUUAUUUAUUCAUUUGGGCCACGAAGCCAAGGUUGUAUUUAACAUAGGUGAAGCGAAAACUCGAGCCAAAGGGCUCGAAAACAUAGAAAUAGGACAGGUGAAAGGAGAAAUGGGUCGGAAGCCCAACUAGACUAGGAUAGGUCUCGUUGAUUUGGGCCCAAUGGCCUAAAUCCUUUACUUUCUCCUCCCUUCCCUUUUAUGUGUUUAUUUGUUUAUUAGCUUUGUUUAGACUCAGUUAAAAUCCCUACUAAGUCGCCUAAAUCUAUCUUACACAAGUUUUUUUUCUAAAAAACCAAUCACUUUUAAACAAAUUAAUCUUUUUAGUAGUUAAUCAAAAGACGUUUUCAAACAGUCCAGAUAACCGCAAGUUAGCGGACGUUUUAGGUGCCUAAUACCUUCCUAAAACGUUAAUAGGAACCACUUAUCUAGAAUCUCUAACUUAAAAUGAUUUUUUUGUUUUGAAUCGUUUGAAGUAAAAUAAAAAGGUUUCUUAAUUCCUUUUUAGAAUUAAGUUGCGACUCUCUUUCAAAAAUCGAAAUUUUUCACAAAACAACAGGUAUCAACAAACGUGGAAAGAAAAAUGACAACUUACUCACAUCCCCAGAAAAUCAAAGAUGGAUGUUUGAAAUGGUACAUGCAAAAGGUCCAACAUGCAAGUGGAAUGGUCAAAGUGAUGUUUUCUACAAUCGUUGCACGGCUAUUUGCAUUCCUCCUCAUAUUCCUACUACAUCAUAUCAUGCCGAAAGGGCCAUUCCAUAAGGGCCAUGCCGAGAGGGCCAUUCCAAAGGAUUGUGCCGUAAGUGUCAUGUCCUGAAAAUCAUAUUGCCUUCUCCGACUAGUUUCGAAGAGACAACAAUCCAAGGGCAUCUCCAUAUUGUAUUUGAUGCCCAUGAUUGAUUCAAUGUCUUCAAUAUCCAUUAAUUAUACAAAGGCAAAAGAGUCAAUUGUUGAAGGAUAUUAAGAAAAAAUUUCAUAUAUAUAUCUGAUAAUUAUGCGAAGACAAGAGAGUUUGGCAUUGAAGCAUAUUCUGAAGCAUUCAUACCUUAUCAAAUCACGCAAAGGCAAAGCGGUCUAGCGAUGAGAGAUAUCAUCAUCUCAAGUGCAUCCGUCAUCAAAGAUUUUACCGCAUUCAUUAUUGGAUCUCAAGAAACAUAUAUUUCGAAGGAUAUCUAUGCGUCGCUAUCCAAAAACGUGCGAUGUACUAGAGUUUUGUGAGAAUUGACUAUCCAAGGAUCAUCUAUAAGUCACAUUAUUUGAAAUAGGAUAGUGUACGAGAUUACCUAUAAGUUAAUAAAAUAUGGAUUAUCCGUAAGCUAAAACAACAUCCUAACAAAAUAGUGCGCAAGGUUACCAAAAGAUCGAUAAUUUAAAGGUUUCCCAUACGUCAUAACUAAAUCCUUACCGAAAAAUAUGCAAGAUUAUCGAAGGGUUACCCACGUCAUACAAAAUUAAUAGGUCCAAGGGUUCUCUAUAAACCGUGUUAUAUCCAAGAUCAAUUAUACGCAGGAUUACCCAAAGACUACCAGUUUAAAAGAUAUCUAUAAGCCAUAUUGUAUCCAAGGUCGGAUAAUGUGUAGGAAUAUCGGAGAGCUGACGAUUGGAGGGAUAUCUGUAAGUCAUCUGUUAUCCAAGGUCGAAUCAUGUGUAGGAUUACUCAAAGGAUAUCUAUAAGUUGCCUCAUAUCCAACAUCAAAUAAUUCGCAAGAUUAUCCAAAGAUUGACAAUUCAAGGGAAAUCUAUAAGUCGUAUUGAUACAAAAGAUACGCAAACUUACCCAAGGUCAAAUGAAAUGACCAUUGUCGAUAGCUGAAAAGUUUAUCAUUCCACAUAGGAGAGGCAUUCUAGGUAACCAAAAGAGUUACCACAUCAGCAUAAAAUUACGUGGUUGCAAGGGCUGCUCUAUACGUGUCGUCGGUACCCAAGAGGGCUACCCCACUUUGAAGGAUAUUUUCAAUCGUCAAGACAACUAUCAUUUCCAACAGUGAAAAUGUUGUUGUAUCAAUUAUCGAAAGAAUUUUUGCCCUCCCAAAUAGGUACAUUGGAGGAUGACGUUCUUUCAGGUAUCAACUCACGCGAAGAUAUAGUAAAAAACUAUAGAUCCCUUAGUGAAUUAUGUUUAUCACUAACAAUUUUAUUUGAGAUGUUGUUGAAAGAAUCUGAAAAGGAUGAAAUCUCAAACCAAAAUCAUAGGAGCGGAUGACUCCAAAAGCAUGCAGCACAACGUGAAGCUUUUUCUUAGUAGCGAACUGGGACAUAGUCCGAAAAGGAAUAUCAAACUCUUUAGACUCAAGCUAAGAGAUGACUUCCACCAUCAUCAAAUCACAUCCCUAUUAGAAGGCAUGUGGGAAUUUUUGGGAUUUUUGUUUCAGUUUCACUUUUGGAGUACUUCUAAACUCACACCAAGGGUAGCCUUCUAUUUCUUUUAAAUCAGAGUGACAACACACUCAGAGUUUGGAAAUUAUAUCCAAGUAAAUUGAUUCCCAUAGAUGUGAAGAGAUCCAUAUUCAUGGUCAAGAGGUUACAAACUUCUUUUUCGUAACUCAAUUGUCUAUCGCUCAUCCUGAGCCAAAGAUCGUCUACGCAUAGCAGACUAUCUUUUCCACCGUUCGAGUCAAACUACAUACAGUCUGACUCCCUGAGUCUCAGAGAUAUAUAGGCUGGACUCUAUAUUUAAAACUCGACAGCAUUUCAACCUCCCCCUGAUCCGCUUAUUUCCCAGCUUUCCAAUUUCACCAAAAUUCAAAAACCGAGAUAACUUGUGAAUUUCUCAAAAAUCAUGCUUAAAAUCAAGCUUUAUGAACUACAAGUGGCCUGAGUUCUCAUAUAACCUGAGAUAUGCUAGAAAGUUGAUACCGAGGUCCGGCCAUAACUCUAUGACCCUCUUUCAAAAAUGAAUUUAUGGUCGGACAAAAAUUAGGAAUGUCAAACUCGCUUUGCCCAGGGUUAAUUGCAUCCAUCCUACCCAAAGGGAGGGGAAGUUGUUGACACCUAAUUUUGCCCUCCACAACCAAGUUUAAUUUCAAGUUUGUUUGAUUUUAAAUAAUAUUACAAUAUUUAUUUUAUCCGAAUAAAAGCUUUACAAAGUAUUUAGCUAGAUAAUUUUGCCAUUUUAAGUAACAAUUAUACAUUUUUGUAUUCGUAAUUAUGAAAUUGUAUAAUUUUGUUCUUAAAUAAUUAUUUUACGAAAAAAUAGAUUUUAAUGGAAAGUUAUUUUGAAAAUUGAUUCAAAUGGUUAAAAUCUUGAUUUAAAUAUAAUUUACUCUAAAAAAUAAUUUGUUCGAAAAAAUAUUUGUUUGAUUGUUAUUAAAUCAAAAAGCUCCGAUUAAUUGGUUAUUAAAUUAUAUCACAUUAUGUUUUAAUUUAGCCAAUUUAUUAAAUUGGACCUUAAAUUGAAAUCAAUUCGAUCAUAAUUACAAUGCAAUUGGUCAAUUGAAUUUGAAUUAUACGAAGAUUUAAAUACAACUAUCUAAAUUUUAUUUGUUGGUUAUUUAAUAAAUAACCUGAAUCCCUAAAAAACCCUAGAUUCCUAAAUUCAGUCCCAAUUCCCCCUAAAACCCGCCCCAGGCCUAUUUGUUCAAUAAAACAGGCCUAAUACAACCUGCCAACCCAUUUCUUAAACCCAACAGCCUCAUUUACCCUAUUCUCAAUUAGACCACCAGCCCAAAAUUCUUGUUGACCCGACUCGAAUUUUAUUGUCUUCUUCAACAAAACAGAUGCACGUCAGUAAGCAUGAAGUAAGCAGAAACAACGUCCGUACACCAGCAACCAACAACAAAAAUUUCAACGCAACAUACAACAACUCCAGUGAACCAACUCCAAACUACUCCAAUUUCAACCCGUCAAAACCCAAAAUAGUAACAACCAAAGGCUACAACCUGACCCGACCUUCGUACAUUAAAAAUUCAGCGACAAAUCCCCUAAUCAUGAAAAAACCUCCCUCUCCAUCUUAUCUCUGUAAUUUUGCAGACCUAGAGCCAUCCUUUUUGACUUUAUGCUCGAGGUGUGUGUUUUCAAACUCAAAAUCCAAUCCAAAUCAGAAGAUGUCUAUUCAAAUCCAAAGUUUAGGGAUAUGUUUCUCUAUUUUUAAAGAUGAAAAAUUAAUAUCUUCCCCUAUAAAUAGGGAUUGAGGUGAAGAAGGCAGGAAGAAAAAAAGGCUUUUGGGGGAAAAUUAGGGGUUUUAAAGGCGCUUUCUUUUAACCUCACGUUAACAAAAUUAUCGAUGAACACACUUAGAAAACCGAAUUUUGGAAAAAAUGUUGAAGUCCGACGAGGCUAGUUGGCAUUCCGAUGGUAAAAGUCGCAACGUGAUAGGCUUGUUUGUAUCAUUCACUACCCAAAAAUAAGUGAACAUUUCACCCUCUCAUACCCUCUCUUUGUUAGCUAAUUAUUAUGACACAAAAUCUCAUUAAUGAUAGUGGAAUUUGGUUGUUGUUGAAGUAGUUGUCGUUGUGGAAUCUCAACACUUGGUGAGAGAUGGGAUUAUGUGCUAUAGAAGGCCCUCAUGGCCAUAGGAUUUUCAUGUUAUGUAGUGUUAAUUUUUACCUCGAUAGAUUAAGUUGAUAUUCUUGCUCUAGAUAUUUUGGCGCAUCAUUUUUCUUAGUGUAGGUUUUUAGCUCUUUAAACGCAUUGAUCCAUCUUGGUGUUUCUUUUCUAACAUUGAAGUUACUAUCAUUGUAGUGUAAGUACUGUUUUUCUACAAUUUGGAGCCUUUUUUGUAUGUGUGUUUUUUGUUUUCUUUAUCAUGCUCCUAUGAGUUUGUGUAGUUUGUGUUUUUUGGUUUGUUUGGCAACGAGGAAGUAAAGGAUUUUUGAAAACUUGAUUAAUACUGUUCUACACACUUUUUCUUAAAGCUACAAAUUCUGGUUAAAAUAAUUAUAUGUCUAAGCUAUUGAAAGUGAUUUCAUGUGAAUACAAAAUGCAAAGGCAUUCUACGUUGUAAAAACUCUUACAACAAUGGAGAAACCAUCGGAACCAAGGCCAUAGGAACCAACGCCACCGGAACCACUGGACCCAAUGACCAUUGAUAUCCCUACCACCAAUCCUCAAGAUACCCCAAAAGAUAGUUUCAAGGACAAACUUAUGAACAAAAACAGCAAUCUAAACAUGAGCUACAACUACACUAGUAAUAAAGUCGCAGUCGAUAGUACCAACAAGGGCCAAUCGAAACAGCUAUCUGAAGAAGAAAAGCUACGUAUUUAUCGCCCUUGGCAACACUCAGUCAUUGUAAAGCUGGUGAAUAAGCGAUUAACACAUAAUUAUCUGAGAAUCAAGUUGACGAAGCUUUGGAAGCCAACGGAACCACUCAUCUUGAUUGAUCUUGGAUGUGAUUUUUCUGUGGCAAAGUUCAGCAAACCAGAAAAUGCAAAAAAAGCCUUACAUGGUGGUCCCUAGUUCAUUACUGGAAAUUUUAUGUCGGUGCGACAAUGGGAAUCGAGUUUUGUACCCGAGGACGCACCCCAAAUCCACACUCCUACAGCUUCCAAUGGAAUUCUACGACCAAAGAGUGUUGGAGUUGAUAGGGUCGUCACUUGGAACAUUAUUAAAAAUUGACUUGUACACCUCACUGACCCUUCGAGGAAGAUAUGCCAGAAUUUGCAUUCAAGUACCCCUAGCGGUCCCCCUCAAGAAACAAGUUACCAUCUGUAAUCAUACCCAAGGGGAUGGGCUUCUCUGCACAUCCUGUAGACGAUUGGAACACCAAGCAAAACACUAUACCCACAAUACCAAUAAAUCAACCAUAGACAAAGAAUUACCAAGCACCAGCAAGUUCCCAGAAGAAGAAGAUCAACAACAAUGGCACAUCAUUUUCUUCCCCAAAAGAAAACACAGAGUGAAUAGAGGACCAAGCAGUAACGGAAAAUCAUCACCUUUGAUAGCUUACCCACAUCAGGUAAGGAUGACGACAGGCAUCCCAGGUAAACUCCCAUGCCCUGAACAGUUCCCUCCCAACACUAAGGACAGUGCUCCAUCCUUGGGGAAAACCAUCACAGUUAAGAAGUUGUCUCCACCACCAACAAAAAAUGGAAAAGCAAAAUGGGCUUAUAGGUCAUCCCACGCGCCUGCAAGAGCUACUGAAAAUACUCAUAUUCCUAAAGUCAAACUUGCACACCACACACCUGCACAGGCUAUUAAUAACUCCAACUACUCACUUCCUUCUCUUAACUUAGAGAAAACAUCCCCUCCAUCUAAUAAAUUUAGAGGCCCACCAAGGGCCACACCUCUCAUCACCAUUAAUUCUUCUCCAACGGAGGCUACCGCCUCUGCAUUUUUUGGGAUGUUUAACGCUGUUCAAUAUAGAGGUAAUCAUUAUAUAGAGCUAAUUGACAUGAACUUGCCGGUCAUGUGCAUUAACUCAACUCCCCAUAUUAGUGGUGACAAUUCACGAUUACCCUUAACAACACCCAAAAAUACUCUAAACACAUAACUGAUACCAAUGGCCUCCCAACCACCGUUGAAGGAACUACUAGUCUUUGCCUCAGCACCACACCCUCCGAACAGGAUCCCAAUAUCUUGGGCAGAGCUGGUAAUGAAGGGAAGACCAUAUCACAUUAUGUCAUAAUCGGGGAUCAACCCAUUGUACUAAUGAUUCAAGACCCAGCCUGGAUGGCUCAAAUAAUCAAGGAUGGGGUGGAUCACAUAGUGCAAGGCCUAGGUUAUCAGGUAUGGACCUAAACCUUGAUGUAAGCUCAGAGGUUGGGCACUCUCAAUAUCAUGAACUCGCACGAGUUCAACUCACUCAUGACUCAUAUGUUCAAACACUUACCUUACUACCCAGAGAGCCCCUACCUGUCGAGCUUGGACAUACUAAUAUUUGUACCUUGGACAUCAUCAGACCACCAUGUCUCUACCAACCAAACCAAUGCUCAGACUAACAAUACACAAACAGAGGUAGAAGACCAAAGAGAAACACAAACCUCAAUUCUGGAAGAGAUUCAAAGGUCAAACGCGGAAAUAGAGCAACUCUUGGAAACCUUAGGGGAUCCACCAACAGAGUUUUUCACGCUAGGAAGGCUACUUCAAACAGAUUUCAAACAGCCCUUCAGCACAGUUACUAUAGUAGUCUGUCUGAGGGAGAUGAAAACAUUCAAGUUAAUCUUGAGGAACAUGACCAACCUUACCCCAACAGCUGUCUACCUGAGCCCAUAUUUGGACAAGGAACAGCAAGCCAGGACGGUCAAAGAGAAGAACCCAUUGCUGAACCACCCCAUACCUCCAACUAAUUCAAUAAACUUCAUUAUUUGGAAUACUAGGGGUGCUAACAGUCCGGCUUUUAAGCUUCACUGCGAUGCCCUAAUCAAAAUGCAUAGACUAGCCGUUAUUGUUCUUUUAGAAACAAAAAUAGUUGACCACACCAAUCUCACUGAGAUGUUUGGUUAUGACUCUUACAUGGAGUUAAGUGUUGAUGGUUGUAAGAGAGGUAUAGUAAUCAUAUGGAAGGAAAAUGCUCAAAUUAUAGAACUUCUCAACAUCCCCCCAGGGUAUCCAUACCAUCAUCAAGUUAAACUCUAAUCCCAGCCCUUGGCUCUUCUCUGCUAUUUAUCCUAGUCUAAACCACAAUCUUAGAACCACCCUUUGGGAGGAAUUGUGUUAAAUUUCCUUGAACUACAAAGGGGAUUGGUUGAUUGGUGGGGACUUUAACGAGGUCUUUAAAGCAAAUGAGAAACUUGGAGGGGCCCCCAUUAAUAACAAUAGAGUUAGUCAGUUCUGGGAUUGCUUAAACCUUUGCAAUAUGAUUGACCUAGGCUUUAGGGGUUGUAAGUAUACUUGGACUAAUAUGAGGCAUCGAAAUAGACAGGUCCUUAACCAGGAAAGGUUAGAUAGAUGUGUUGCCAAUGAAUCUUGGAUAAGAUAUUUCCCUGAGGGUUUGGUAACACACCUUCCCAGAACCAAGUCUGAUCACUGUCCCCUUCUCUUAGGUUUGAGCCCAUGUGGUGUAAUCAUGACUCUUUUCCAAAUCUGGUAAAGCACUGUUUUAACAAUAACUCAAAUCUUCACCAAGAUAUCACCUCCUUUUAGCACUAGGCUUCCCAAUUAAACCACCGGGUGUUUGGAAAUAUUUUUACCAAGAUGCGAAUUAUUAGGUCUAGACUUGAUGGUAUCCAAAAAUCCAGGGCCUACCAUACUAGUAACUUCUUGAAAAACCUGGAAAAUGAGUUGAUGUUUGAGCUAGACUCUAUUAUUAAGUGUGAGAAGGAUUUUUGGAAAACAAAGUCUAGGAUUACGUGGCUCAAUCAGGGUGAUGCAAACACCUCCUUUUUUCAUGCAUCAACUCUUAAUAGAAGAAGUAGGAACACUAUAAAUGAACUAUGCAUGAGGUAGGCAAUGUGUAUAGAGGAGAUGAUGUCAUUUUGGCACAUGGGCUACAACACUUCACCAAUAUAUACACAUCCAGCCACACUCAGUGCCCCAACUCUCAUUUUACUCCUACUUGUGACUCCAAUGAAUCUCUAAGGAUUUGAAAAGAUCCCUAGCUGCACCCCUUAGAGAUACUGAAAUCCUCCUGGCUAUCAAAUCCUUUAAGCCCAUGAAAGAUCAUGGGCCUGAUGGACUUUAUCCUCUCUUCUAUCAAAAGUUCUGGCCUGACAUUGGUCAAAAGACCAUAGUGUUCUACAAGAAAGUCUUUAACAAAAACAUCAUGCCUNNNNNNNNNNNNNNNNNNNNNNNNNNNNNNNNNNNNNNNNNNCUGCUGAACACAACACCACUCUCAUUUGAUUGGUUCCAAAAUAUAGGAAUGUCUCCAAAAUCUUUAGACCAAUUGGGCUCUGCAACACUAGCUACAAGAUUGUCACCAAGAUCAUUGCCAAUAGAAUAAAACUCAUCCUUCAAAGCAUCAUCAGCCCCACCCAAGCUAGUUUCCUUGCCAAUACAAGGGUUUCUGAUCAAGCUAUCAUAAUUUAAGAGUAUAUCACUCACUUCAAAAAAAUGAAGGGGAACAAGGCCAAUAUGAUUCUUAAGAUAGACCUAGAAAAAGCUUUUGACAAACUGAAAUGGUCCUUUAUAAAAGAUACCCUUCUAUUUUUUGGUAUUCCUGAUAACCUUGCCAGACUCAUUCUUUCAUGCAUCACUUCUUCCUCUAUUGCUAUCUUGGUUAAUGGCAGAAGAACUAAUUUCUUCAAUCCAUUAAGAGGCAUCAGGUAGGGGGACCUCUUUCCCCAUAUAUUUUUAUCAUGUGUAUGGAAAGACUUUUAAGGGGGAUAGAGGUUGAGGUUAGAGAAAAGAACUAAACCCCCAUUAGUAUCUCUCCCAAAGGUCCUAAGCCUUCUCACUUAUUCUUUGCAGAUGACCUCACCCUCUUGGCUAGAGCAAACACCAAAAAUCGCCACACCAUUGCCAGAAUUCUCUAAAUCGUCUCCAUUCUUUCUGGCCAAACCAUCAAUAGUCAGAAGUCUAAGAAUAUCUACUCUGCUAACUGUACUCCCCAAGUAAUAAGCCGUUGUACUCAGAUUCUUAACAUCCAGCCCAGCCAAUAUUUUGGCAAAUAUCUUGGUUACCCUAUCUUCUCCUGCAAGCCCAAGAAUAGUGACUUUCAGUUUAUUAUAGAUAGCAUGAACUCUAGGCUAGCAGGGGAAAAACUAAACUUUUGAACAUGACUGGUAGGUUUGUCCUAGCCAAAUCAACUCUUGCUAUAAUGCCUAACCAUCUGAUGUAUUACAUCAGAAUCCCCAGCAAAAUUACUAAAACAAUCAACAAAAUCCAAAGAGACUUUGUUUGGGGGAACAACAAUGACAAAAAGAAGCUUUACCUCAUUAACUGGGACACCUUGACUACAAACAAGAAAUUUGGAGGCCUGGGACUCCACAAAACUGAACUCAGAAAUAGAGCUCUCCAUGCUGGCCUGGCAUGGAGACUGUUUCAUCAACCAACAAGCCUUUGGGGUCAAAUGCUUCUUGCUAAAUACUAUAAGCCUAACAGCCAAAACCCUUCAAAAAAACCCUCCUCUAGAACCUGGAAAAAUAUCAAAAGGGGGUGGAAAGACUGUCUUUUAGGCAUUAAAUGGAGAAUUAACAGGGCAGAUAGGGUGAACUUUUACCAAGAUUCCUGGAUUCCUCAACUUAAUAGUUUAAACAGUAUUCUUCAGGACCCCUUAAACAGGCAGGACCUGAACACCAUUGUUAAAGACAUCCUGGUAGGGGGAAUUGGGAUUUAAAUAAACUCUCUUUUGAAAUUCCCAUAUCUAUCCAAGAUAUCAUUCUCAACCAUAAUGUCACCCUAAAGGAAAACAUUGAUGACAAAGUUCUUUGGAAUCUCAGUACUACUGGAACCUUCACAACUGGCACCAUGUAUUCUUGUCUCAACUCCCAAAAUACCAGCAAUUUUGCAGACAAAAACUUCAGCAUAAUCUGGAAAGCUGAAGCUCCCAACAAAACCAAAACUUUCCUCUGGCUCCUUAUGCAUGGAAGGCUUCCCACUAGUAGCUAUCUUCAACAUAUUGGUAUCAAUGUCCCCCCCUCCAUUGCUAUUUCUGCAACCACAAUAAGGAAGGCACAACCCACAUUUUCUUUCUCUGUACUAAUGCCAACCAAUUCUAGGAGAUCCUUAUCCAAAUAAGUACUUACAAACCCCUACUUCCUGGGAGUACUGCUGAUUAUACCAAUUAGAAUAUAGGGUGGGAGAGCAUGUGCUCCAAACCUUUCAACUCUUAGCUAAUGUGGGGCACCAUCUUACCUCACUUGAUAACGCUCAAUCUACAGCUCUCGUGGGAGUGUAAAGCGGUCGUUAGCAAAUAUAGAACCCAACCUGGGUUGGGUAUCGAUCCCACAGAGAAUAGCUUGGCCAACAAGCAAGAGAAAUUACUAGACUUUUAGUGCAAGUCUCGUAGGAAAGGGGGGAUUGUAGUAUGUAACCAAAACAAGAAUGUAAGAACUGAAAAUAGCAAAAUAAAGAGAGAUUGUCACGUGUGUUGUAAACAAUGAGAAUUGAGGCGUUGGGGUUAUGUCCACCUUCUGAGGUAUACGUCUCUAUUGGCUAUGAGUGUGUAGAGUCUUGACAUGUAAUUGCUUAUAGAGAAUUGUAGUCGAUGGUAAAUCCAAGCGUCUCUCGACCUAAACAAGGACUAUUUCACUUUAACUCUCUCGAGCUUAAAGCGUGACUAACGGUACGAAUUCUCCAAGAAGUUAGUCCAGGUACGGCACUAGCUUUUUAAUAGGAAAGGGUGUCCUACUACCUUGACAUUAUCUCUUUUCCAGACAAAUAACUUUUCUCUCGAACAAGUCAGAUGUUAGACUGGCGUUGGUCUAUGCGUCUUCUUUUCUAGACAAAUAACCUUUCUCUCGAACAGGUUAGAUGUUAGAAUGGCGUGUUCUUGUGUUUGAACCGCAAAGAAUGUAGAUUUAAGAUGAAGAGAAUAAUGAUAUAAGCAAUAUACUUGUCUUGAACUCACAAACUCAUAGCUAUAGAUAGUAACUCAUUCGGCUUCCAUAACCCCAACUAAGAGAUUUAGUUACCCAUGAAUGCGAAGGAUAUCACGCUUUGCAUGGUGGAUGGCGUGAAUAGUAGGUGUUUGGCGUGUGGUUUUAGUGAUUCCGUAGCAAGUAACGAUUCUCUUGUUGUGGAAUUUAAGAGUAGAAGAAUGAAGAAUUGAGAAUGGGUUGUAGGAAGAUGUCUUAAUUGUAAGGAGAUGAAUGAAUUGUCAGAAUGUCUCCCUUCUUGAAAAUCUCUAACAUGAUAGGGUAUUUAUAAUACUCCUAUCCUACUCCUACUAAACUAAUAAAAUAAAUAACCAAAUCCUAAUAUACUAAUGAAAUCCUUGACCCAAUUGUACUAGGGUAAGGUUACAAAAUUAUAAUCCAAAUAGAAUGAUGAAACACAUAACCUAAUUGCACUAGGUUAAUGUAUUAUGGCAAAAAUCCAGCUUUGUGUCUGUAAGUCCCAAAGUCUUCAGAAAUGCUGUUUUAGCCCGGGACAGAUUUUCCAUGCAGCAGAUUUAGUCCUUUAUGCGUCCAGCUCCUUUCCAUCUCGUUUGUGAGCUUUCUUUUGCGUCAAGUAAGCCAUAAAUUGCUGUAUUUUGCAUCAUUUAUACCUGAAACUUUCCUAAUCACAUUUGUUAGCUCAUUUACAGGAAAAAGGACUAAAAGUGUACGAAAUAGAUAAUUAGUUCUCGAAACUAGGCUAAAAUAUGGGCAAAAUAUAUUGAUAUAGGCGCGUAAUUUCGCCUAUCAUCAACUUCCUAAGGAAAUCUGGCUCACCAGGAAUGACAAUCUUUUCAAUAAUAAGCAUAAUCUAGCCAACAAUGAUAAAGUUAUUUCAAAUGCCACUGAGUUUGUCAUGCUUUUCAAAUCAAACUCGAACCUCACUCACACUCAACAUACCAUCGGCAUUGGGGGGAACCCCCUCAAUUAGGAACCAUAAAGAUAAAUAUCGAUGGUUCUGCGAAAGGAAAUCCUAGGCCUGGAGGAUUGGGUGGGGUUUUUAGAGACCAUACUAGGGGUUGGAUCUUGGGAUUCUACCAACACCUCCUACACACAAAACUUGUUAUAGCUGAUAUCCAAGCCAUUAACUGGGGACUCCGGCUGGCUAAAGAUCACAAUAUUCUUAACUUUGAAAUUGAAUCUGACUCAGCGACUGCUAUUAAAAUCCUUCAAAAGGAUCACCCUUUAUAUCAUAACCUUGUUUCUGAGUGCAGGACAUUAAUGAUCGGCCUGGGAGCAGCGCUCCUCACACACAUUUUCAGAGAGCAAAAUAGAGUAGUGGAUCGACUAGCUAAGAAAGGGUCAAACAUACAAUUCACGAAAAAGUCAAUCUCUCCAUCAAUGCCACCUUCUUUUGUAUUAAGCUGUGUCCAAGAUGAUAUCACUGGAUAAACUUUUACACGUCUAGUUAAACAUUGUUUUUUGGGUCCCUUAAUGACCAAUGGAAACAAUUCAUCAUACCCACAGGAUUGGGUUGUGGCCCUGACUAACUCUUUUAUUACUCCUUAAGAUGAAAGGAGUGCCAACCCCUCCUCCCCACUAACCUUAAUAGAACAACUUCUCUUCUUGACAAAAAAAGAAAUAAAGUGAUUUCAUGUGUAAAUUCUUCAUUUACACAAAAUGUUGUAUUAAUAGAAGUAGCUAGCGGGUCCCAAUGUACAGGAGUUCCCAAGGCAAUUUAAAAAAAUAAUAAAAUUUCAUAUACUCCUAAAGAUACUAAUCAACCUUUCAAAGUUAAAUUAAAACACGUGGCUUAAUCAAUCAAAAUGAUGAUUCCUACUUCAUAAUAUGUUAAAUUAUAUAGCUUAGUGUUAUUUUUCAAUGUUUUCGGGUACACAAUCUGUAUUUCGGCAAACAAAAACUUCAACACAAGUUUAAGUCUAAAACAAGAAUACCUAUGAAGCUACACAACACCUUUAACACAAGAUUAAAAAUAAUUUAUCCAAGAAGUGUGUUAUUAUUUCAAAAAUAAGAUGAAACAGAAAUUUAAAGUCAAGUCCCCCGACUUCACGGAGUGUUUAUGCUAUCAAAAAAUCAUCUCUAUAACUUAGGAAUAAGUCAGGUAUUUAUAGCCUUAAGGUUUUCCUUCAGAAAGGAAGUAUUGGUUCAGCAAAAAGGCACUUAUUCAAUAUAGUCAUGUCAUCUACGCCCAGUCUGUGCUGGACCUGCUCUGAUCUGCGGCUGUAGGUGACACUGUCCGAAUUCCGGUAAGUACCUAUGCUAUACUUGCAGCUGCAAGUUAUCGAGGUACGUGCAUAGAUCACCCCAUUGCACAAAAUAGUGUGCCUUUUACCUUGAAGGGUCGCAUCCCUUCGAGGUGCGUUGUGCCUGCGUUUGCAUGGCAUCCGAAAUGCACCCGCACAUGAAAAAAAUAUUUCUAUCAGAUUUUUUGGAUUAAAAUUUCACUUGUUCAUCAAGUUUCAAAUAAAUUUUGUCUAAAAAAUAGAUCUCAUCGAUCGAUCAUUUGAAAAAUCCAAAUCUAAAGCCGAAUUCGAGCCGAGCGAGCGACGAUGAUGAUGGUAUGAGGCACCACCUUGUUCUUACCUCACUAUCCAUGUGGAGAUGUGUUUCUAAUAUAAACACAUGAAGGUUUCUUACUCCCACCAAUGGGGGAGAAUUUAGUAAGCUUUCUAUAAAAGAGUACACUUUCUAUUUUAGUGAUUCUCUUUUCCUCAACUAUUUUUUCCUUCAUUUUCUAUUCAUACAUACACCUUGAAUCCAACAAUCCCCCACAUGAAUAGGGAAUGGCUAUCUUUUUGAAGAAUUUACAAACAAGCAUGUGAUUAUUUAGCAAAGACUGAUUGCAUCUGGAUAAGUGGUUUCCCUUUGAACUUUUCAUAGUGAACAUGCAUUGGAUGUACUCGGUCAAUCAGUAGAUUUGAUAUCUUUAAACCAUCGAGCUUUAAUGUACACCUAGAUAACACAUGUCAUACAACCAGCCUUUUACCAUUUAUGGUUCUCACAAUUUUGUUCUUUUCAGCCAUGAACACGUCCCUAUUUCAUGAGAGCUCAGAGAAUAGGCCUUUACUAACAUUCUUCUUGAAGCGGCUUCCAUUUUGCCCUCAUAUGGGUAAUUUCUAAAUGUUCAAUCCUAUAGAUUAAACUAUUUGGUCAAAUCUGCUAAUUUUAGAUAAUCAUUAAAAGACUUCACACUAUAAGUCUUAUCCUCAUUUACUAAUAUUGUUUAUAUCAUAAGAAUGGGUUGGGUAUAAUGACAAUGUUGAACCUGCCAGACACAACUUUGUUUGAUCUCUUUGAACCUAGUUCUUGGGAUCUCCAGCCUGCUAGGUAGAGUUAUCGUCGUGCUGACUCAUCCUAUGCCUUAAACUCAUUCCCUUGGAUGUCCUCUCAACUUCUUCUAUAGACAGGCUUUUUGUAAGUGGAUCUAACACAUUAUCCUUUGACUUUACAUAGUCCAUAGUGAUAAUUCCACUAGAGAGAAUUUCACUAAUGGUAUUAUAUCUCCAUCUUAUGUGAUGAGAUUUACCAUUGUACAUCAUGCUCUCUGCCCUACCUAUUGUCGCUUGGCUAUCACAGUGUAUAUAUACUGGUGGCACUGGUUUGGGCCAAUAAGGAAUAUCUUCUAAGAGCUUUCGGAGCCAUUCUGCUUUUUCAUCGAUUUUAUCCAACGUGAUAAAUUCAUAUUCCAUCGUAGAACGAGCAAUACAUGUCUGUUUGGAUGAUUUCCAAGAGACCACUCCUCCACCAAUAGUAAAUACAUAUCCACUCGUGGAUUUUACUUUGUUUGAUCUGAUGAUUCAAUUUGCAUCACUAUGUCCUUCAAGUACCGUAGGAUAUUUAUUAUACUGCAAACCAUAGUCUUGAGUGUACUUAAGAUACCCCAAAACUCUUUUCAUUGUCAUCCAAUGAGUUUUGUUAGGAUUACUCGUAUACCGACUUAACUUACUAAUAUCGCAUGCUAUGUCUGGUCGUGUACAAUUCAUUAUAUAUAUUGAGCAUCCCAAUACUCUUGUGUACUCCAAUUUUGAGUCACUUUCACCUUCAUUCUUUCAAAGUACGAAGCUCACAUCCAGUGGAGUCUUGGCAAUACCAAAUUCUAAAUACUUGAAUUUUUCAAGUACCUUUUCAAUGUAAUGAGACCGUGAUAAUGCCAACCCUUGUGGAUUUCUAUGAAUUCUCCUUCCUAAGAUCACAUCUGCAACUCCAAGGUCUUUCAUAUCAAAAUUGCUCUCGAGCAUUUGUUUUGUAGCAUUUAUGUCAGAAAUGUCUCUACUGAUGAUCAACAUAUCAUCCACAUAUAAACAAACAAUGAUUUGGUGAUUUGGAGUGUCUUUAAUGUAAACACAUUUAUCACAUUCAUUUAUCUUGAACCCAUUUGCCAACAUGGUUUGGUCAAACUUCGCAUGUCAUUGUUUAAGUGCUUGUUUUAGUCCAUAAAGUGACUUAACAAGUUUACACACCUUAUUUUCUUUUUCUAGAACCAUAAAACCCUUAGGCUAUUUCAUGUAAAUUUCUUCUUCCAAUUCUACAUUUAGGAAUAUUGUUUUCACAUCCAUUUGAUGGAUUUCAAGACCAUAUACCGCCGCCAAGGCAAUUAAUAUCCAAAUUGACGUUUUCCUCAUUACUGGCGAGUAUGUAUCAAAGUAAUCAAGGUCUUCCUUUUGUUUAAAGCCUUUUACAAUAAGUCUUGCCUUGUAUUUGUCAAUAGAACUAUCAACUUUUAUUUUUCUUUUGAAGAUCCAUUUAGAACCUAAAGGUUUAUUUCCUGGAGGAAGAUCAACAAACUCCCACGUAUGGUUGCUUAAGAUUGAAUUAAUCUCACUAUCGACUGCCUCUUUCCAAAAAGAUGAGUCCGAAGACGUCAUCGCUUCUUUAAAUAUUUGAGGCUCAUUUUCUAAGAGAAAUGUUACAAAAUCCGAUCCAAACGAAGUUGACAUUCUUUGACGUGUUCUACAUCUUGGAUUCUCAUCAUUAUGUGCAUCCUCACUUGGUUUAUUUUGAGGUCGUUUAGACCCCCCACUAGACUAUUCAUGUCUAGUUUUAUACAAAUAAAUGUGUUCAAAGAAUUUAAUAUUAUCUAAUUCAAUUACCAUAUUUUCAUUGAUAUCCAAAUAUUCGAAUUUAUGAACCAAAAACUGACAUGUUUUGCUACUUUUAGCAUAUCCUAUGAACACGCAGUCCACCAUCUUAGGUCCUAUCCUUUCUCUUUUAGGCAUAGGAACUUAGACCUUCGCUAGACAACCCCACACCUUAAAAUAUUUUAAGUUGGGUUUCCUUCCUUUUUAUUUUCAUAUGAAAUUGAUUGUGUCUUACUAUGGGGCACUCUAUUGAGUAUUCGGUUAGCCGUAAGGAUAGCUUCCUCCCACAAGUUUUGCGGCAAACCUGAACUUAUUAGUAAGAUAUUCAUCAUUUUCUUCAAGGUUUGGUUUUUUCUUUCUGCAAUUCCAUUAGAUUGAGGUGAAUACGGGGUUGUAGUUUGAUGGAAAAUUCCAUUCUCUACACAUAUUUGUGCAAAGGGAGAUUCAUAUUCGCCGCCCCUAUCACUUCUUAUCAUUUUGAUCUUUUUCUCUAACUGAUUUUCAACUUCAGUUUUAUAUUUCCUAAAUGCAUCUAUUGCUUCAUCCUUACUAUUUAGCAAAUAGACAUAACAGUAUCUAGUGCAAUCAUUAAUAAAAAUUAUAAAAUACUUUUUUUCACCACGAGAUGGUGUUGACUUCAUAUCACAAAUGUCAUUAUUGAUUAAGUCUAAGGGACUAAAAUUCCUUUCAACAGACAUAUACGAAUGCUUAGCAUACUUUGAUUCCACACACCUCUGGAGCUUCCUCAAAUGUGAACCUUUGAAGACAAAGAGUUGUAAAGUAGAAAAAUAUUUUUUUGCUGCCAUCUUUUGAAGUCAAUACCCGCAAACUUCUCGGGUUUCUCCGCUGGUGCCAUUGCCGGCAAAACAUUCAUACGUCUUUUUGUGGUAACACUAGUUGCUUCCACAGUCGUUGCGACAUCAUGCACUUGACUAUCUGUGGUCAUUUUCCUGUCACAAAAAGACAGUAACAUUUUAGUAUAUCAAAAUACUAUUAAUAAAGUUUCUGCAACUUUAAACACCUCUUGUUUCUAGUUUAACGAUAAAGUUUUUAUGACUGUCAAUCGGCAAUCGAGUGGUCUUUAACUUGUGAUGAAGAUUUAUGUCUUCAAAUCACUAGUUAAGUUCUAACGGAGUAGAAAGCUUAAAGAUUUAAUCUCCAAAAAUCAAGCUAUACAGAUUUCGAAUUAUUCCUUCAGAUUGUUAUUUUUCAAUAUUUCGAGUACACAAAUCUGUAUUUAGGCACACAAUAACUUCAACACAAAUUCAAGUCUAAAACAAGAACAACUAUGAAGUUACACAACACCUUCAAUAUAAGAUUAAAAAUAUUCUAUCCAAGAAGUGUGUUAUUAUUUCAGAAAUAAGAUGAAACAGAAAUUUAAAGUCAAGUCCUCCCACUUCACAGAGUGUUUAUGCUAUCAAAAUAUCAUCUCUAUACCUGAGGAAUAUGUCAGGUAUUUAUAGCCUUAAGGUUUUCCUUCGGAAAGGAAGCAUUGGUUUAGCAAAAAUACACCUAUUCAGUACAGUCAUGUCAUCUACACCUAGUCUGUGCUGGACCUGACACUGUCCGAAUUUCAGUAAGUACCUGUGUUGCACCUGCGGCCGCAGGUUACCGAGGUGCGUGCACAGAUCGCCCCAUUGCGCUAAACAAUGUGUCUUUUACCUCAAAGGAUCGUAUCCCUUCGAGGUGCGACCGAAUCUGAAUAGAUCUCAUCGAUCGAUCCUUUUCCAAAAUCAAAGUCGAGCGAGCAACAACGAUGACGGCGCGAGGCACUAACUUGUUCUUGUCUCACUAUCCAUGUGGAGAUGUGUUUCUCAAUAUAAACACAUGAAAGCUUCUUUCUCCCACCAAUGUGGGAGAAUUUAGUAAGCUUUUCAUAAAAUAGUACACUUUCCAUUAUAGUGUCUCUUUUUUCCUCCACUAUUUUUCCCUCCAUUUUUCAUUCAUAUAUACACCUUGAACCCAACACUUAGCACACCUUAUUUGCUAAUCUUCAUUCUAUGUUUUAAAGUUUGUUAAGUGUUUAUUUGCCAUCCAUAUUCCCUUUCAUUAUUGGUAUCAAGUACAUUACCAGCGUUCAAACACUAAAAGAUCUAAGCUCUAGAUAUUAAUUAUUUAAUGUUGUCUAAAGAAUUUGACUAGAUAUUACUUAUUUAAUAUGUUGCCUAGGAAUUUGACUAUUUGGAUAUAUUCUCAUUCUUUUUUCCUUCUGUGUGUGUGCAUGAACUCCUCCGUCGAGUCCCUCGGACUCCCUUCUCUCGCAUUCUGUUGGGUUAAACAUAACUCGCAUCGAGUCAAGACCCGUACCAAAUCCAAAAUGGACUAAUGCAUGAAGUAAAAUGGGUUGAUACAAAGCUGUAUACACAGAUAUACAGCAGUAUACAUGGGAUAUACAGUUAAAAACGGGAGAUGAAGUUGAUGUACAAGUGGAAGACCAAAAUAUAUGCAUAUGUGGCUGAUAUACAGUCUGAUAUACAUCAGAUAUACAAAAAC